GCCCUCAUAGUUCAAUGGAUAGAACACAAGCCUUCUAAGCUUGUUAUGUAGGUUCGAUUCCUGCUGAGGGUA
rnacentral:tRNA from 1 species